UACGUAGGGGCCUAGCGUUGUCCGGAUUUAUUGGGCGUAAAGAGCUCGUAGGCGGUUUGGUGAGUCGGGUGUGAAAUCUCCACGCUCAACGUGGAGGGGCCACCCGAUACUGCCAUGACUAGAGUCCGGUAGGGGAGUGUGGAAUUCCCGGUGUAGCGGUGAAAUGCGCAGAUAUCGGGAGGAACACCAGUAGCGUAGGCGACACUCUGGGCCGGUACUGACGCUGAGGAGCGAAAGCGUGGGGAGCAAACAGG
rnacentral:rRNA from 1 species